ACACAAAAACAAAAUCCAUUAAAGCUAAAAAGGGUGAAUCCUUUUUAGUUUUAAACAAAAUAGCGAUACUGUAAAUUUAAAUAAUAUAUAUAAUUAAAUUAAAAUUUAAAAAAAAGGCAACUUGGCAGUCAUGGAAGUUAAACAUUAAAAACGUUUAGUAGACAAUGGCUAAAAAGAUUGUUAUAUUUUAAAAAUAUUA
rnacentral:misc_RNA from 1 species